ACUAAACAUAGAAGGCAUCAUUGGCGGAGGACAGGACCAUGUCCAAAGAGUUUGAAAAUAGACUAUCGAUUUUGGCCUCAAGUCUUGAGAGAAA